rnacentral:rRNA from 1 species
GAUGAACGCUGGCGGCGUGCCUAAUACAUGCCAGUCGAGCGAACGGACGAGAAGCUUGCUUCUCUGAUGUUAGCGGCGGACGGGUGAGUAACACGUGGAUAACCUACCUAUAAGACUGGGAUAACUUCGGGAAACCGGAGCUAAUACCGGAUAAUAUUUUGAACCGCAUGGUUCAAAAGUAAAAGACGGUCUUGCUGUCACUUAUAGAUGGAUCCGCGCUGCAUUAGCUAGUUGGUAAGGUAACGGCUUACCAAGGCAACGAUGCAUAGCCGACCUGAGAGGGUGAUCGGCCACACUGGAACUGAGACACGGUCCAGACUCCUACGGGAGGCAGCAGUAGGGAAUCUUCCGCAAUGGGCGAAAGCCUGACGGAGCAACGCCGCGUGAGCGAUGAAGGUCUUCGGAUCGUAAAACUCUGUUAUUAGGGAAGAACAUAUGUGUAAGUAACUGUGCACAUCUUGACGGUACCUAAUCAGAAAGCCACGGCUAACUACGUG